AGUGAACGCUGGCGGUAGGCCUAACACAUGCAAGUUGAACGGCAGCACAGUAAGAGCUUGCUCUUACGGGUGGCGAGUGGUGGACGGGUGAGGAAUACCUCGGAAUCUACUUUUUCGUGGGGGAUAACGUAGGGAAACUUACGCUAAUACCGCAUACGACCUACGGGUGAAAGCAGGGGAUCUUCGGACCUUGCGCGAUUGAAUGAGCCGAUGUCGGAUUAGCUAGUUGGCGGGGUAAAGGCCCACCAAGGCGACGAUCCGUAGCUGGUCUGAGAGGAUGAUCAACCACACUGGAACUAAGACACGGUCCAGACCCCGACGGAAGGCAGCAGUGUGAAAUAUUGGACAAUGGACGCAAGCCUGAUCCAGCCAUACCGCGUGGGUGAAGAAGGCCUUCGGGUUGGAAAGCCCUUUUGUUGAGAAAGAAAAGCAACAGGUUAAUGCGCCGCUUUUCUGACGGUACCCAAAGGAUGGGCAACCGCUAGCUUCGUG
rnacentral:rRNA from 1 species